AGUUCACAUUCUAAAUUAUGAAUUUAGAUUUCUAUGUAUUUGCUGUAGUUUUUGAUGUAAGAUUGGGGUCACACCAGAUGCAUGAUAUAGAAGGCAGCCAGUUUAAAAUGUGGCUGCUAUCAGGAUCACAUGUCACAUGUCAUCUGCAACUUACAUCCAACUCAGGCCUGCUGCAAAGAAAAUCCAUCUGCUACACCUCAACAAACCUAUAAAUGGAACCAUUUCCUUGGACCGGCUUCAGGAACUCUCCUCCUCCCCUGAUGGGAGUUGUACAGGUUGCAUUAGCACAGACUCACAGCCUGCUGGUUGAAGAGUCCUGUUGUGGGGGAAGCCAGGACUGGUGCCAGGUCUGGAGGGGUGCACAGGCCCAGCCAUGCUCAGCACGUCCCAAACAACCGGUGCACGAACCAGAGCCAUCUGCUGUCCAUUUCACUUACAUUCUCACUUGAUGCUCUGCCAGCGGCUCGCUUUUUUCACCCCUGGAACGAGACUAAUCCUCCCGUCCUCACAUGAGCCACCAAAGCUUCGGGUUCAGCUGGCCGGACACCGUGGUUACCCUUCUGAUUUUUGCCUGAGAAAACAAAGAGCUAUACUUCCCCGAAAAGUAUUUCAAAGCAGUAUCAUUUAUCACAAACCCUCUUCCGAGGUCCAUCAUCUACUUACUGUAAUGACCAGAUUUGCCUCUCUACUCUUCAUGAGUGUAUCUGAGUAAUUCCCAUCAACUAAAUAACCAUUAAGCACUCAGCAGUUCAGCCUCAACUGUUGAAGUACAUAAAUGGCUCAUGACCUGAACAUCAUAUGCAUCAUCUUCAAGACUGGAGCAUCACUGUUUGAGUAAUUUCCACCAACUAAAUAACCAUUAAGCACUCAGCGUCCUGGGCUCCUCAACCGUUAAAGCACACUGGGACAUUAGAGAAGAAGAGAUUGAUCAGAGACGUUAUGAGUCAUACAGAGAAAAUAACAAACCUGCUGCAGGAGUUUUUUUCAUCAUUUUAAACUAUUUAUCCUGUAAAGAUGAUAAUUUAUUAAUUUUUUACUCUCAGUAUGCUUUGCAGUUGCAUUAAACUUUCUAUUCUA